rnacentral:rRNA from 1 species
CCUACGGGGGGCAGCAGUGGGGAAUAUUGCACAAUGGGGGAAACCCUGAUGCAGCGACGCCGCGUGAGUGAAGAAGUAUUUCUGUAUGUAAAGCUCUAUCAGCAGGCAAGAAGAAAGCCGGUACCUGACUAAGAAGCCCCGGCUAACUACGUGCCAGCAGCCGCGGUAAUACGUAGGGGGCAAGCGUUAUCCGGAUUUACUGGGUGGAAAGGGAGCGUAGACGGCUGUGCAAGUCUGAAGUGAAAGCCCAGGGCUUAACCCUGGGACUGCUUUGGAAACUGUGGAGCUAGAGUGCUGGAGAGGUAAGUGGAAUUCCUAGUGUAGCGGUGAAAUGCGUAGAUAUUAGGAGGAACACCAGUGGCGAAGGCGGCUUACUGGACAGUAACUGACGUUGAGGCUCGAAAGCGUGGGGAGCAAACAGGAUUAGAUACCCGGGUAGUC